CCGAUCGAGGCAGGCCGCAAGGAAAGAGAGACCGAGCAAGGUCAACUGACGGGCCCCGAGAUAGGAUAGGAGAAAGAGCGUGGCCCACCCAGGGUUUCGGACUGCCAAGGAAAAUUACCAGAAACUCCCGUCACCUUCCCACCGUGCCACCGGGGCUCUUGCUCCCAACAAAUCCUGUUCCUGCAGGGCCGAUACGGAUUUAAACUCCAGCAGUGCAACUUUCAGCCUCUCUUCCUACCAGACUGCCAAGUGAAACCUCCAGGAAAACCUGCCACCUUCCCACCAUGCCAACUAGUGUCUUUGCUCCAGCCGUGUCUGUGCCUCCUGGAAUAAAAAUAAUGAUAAUUGC